rnacentral:misc_RNA from 1 species
UCACUAAUCAAGCCCGGCUUGCUGUUGGACCUCUUGUCGUUAUUAGACAGGUCCUAAAGAUACGACGGCGUCAGUUGGACCCUAGAUGCAACGAGCUUUAACUAGCACGCAUUUUAGUUGGCCCUUUUUGACCCGGUCUUUUUUAUAACCAUUUUUCUAAGGUUGACCUCGGAUCAGGUAGGAAUACCCGCUGAACUUAA